GAGAGGUGGCCGAGUGGCUGAAGGCAACGGUUUGCUAAACCGUCAUACGGGGGAUUUCCCGUAUCGAGGGUUCGAAUCCCUCCCUCUCC
rnacentral:tRNA from 1 species